rnacentral:rRNA from 1 species
UUGAUCUCAAAUCAGGCAGGACUACCCGCUGAACUUAAGCAUAUCAAUAAGCGGAGGAAAAGAAACUAACAAGGAUUCCCCUAGUAACUGCGAGUGAAGCGGGAAAAGCUCAAAUUUAAAAUCUGAUGGUCUUUUUGGCUGUCCGAGUUGUAAUCUAGAGAAGUGUUACCCGCGUUGGACCAUGUACAAGUCUCCUGGAAUGGAGCAUCACAGAGGGUGAGAAUCCCGUCUUUGACAUGGACUGCCAGGGCUUUUGUGGUGCACUCUCAAAGAGUCGAGUUGUUUGGGAAUGCAGCUCAAAAUGGGUGGUAAAUGCCAUCUAAAGCUAAAUAUUGGCGAGAGACCGAUAGCGAACAAGUACCGUGAGGGAAAGAUGAAAAGAACUUUGGAAAGAGAGUUAAACAGUACGUGAAAUUGCUGAAAGGGAAACGCUUGAAGUCAGUCGCAUCGACUGGAAAUCAACCUUGCUUUUGCUUGGUGUAUUUUCUGGCUGAUGGGUCAGCAUCAAUUUUGAUCGUUGGAUAAAGGCUUGGGGAAUGUGGCAUCUUAGGAUGUGUUAUAGCCCUUGGUUGCAUACAGCGGUUGGGAUUGAGGAGCUCAGCACGCCGCAAGGCCGGGUUUUGACCACGUUUACGUGCUUAGGAUGCUGGCAUAAUGGCUUUAAUCGACCCGUCUUGAAACACGGACCAAGGAGUCUAACAUGCCUGCGAGUGUUUGGGUGGAAAACCCAUGCGCGCAAUGAAAGUGAAAGUUGAGAUCCCUGUCGUGGGGAGCAUCGACGCCCGGACCAGACCUUUUGUGACGGAUCCGCGGUAGAGCAUGCAUGUUGGGACCCGAAAGAUGGUGAACUAUGCCUGAAUAGGGUGAAGCCAGAGGAAACUCUGGUGGAGGCUCGUAGCGAUUCUGACGUGCAAAUCGAUCGUCAAAUUUGGGUAUAGGGGCGAAAGACUAAUCGAACCAUCU